CUUGGUCAUUUAGAGGAAGUAAAAGUCGUAACAAGGUUUCCGUAGGUGAACCUGCGGAAGGAUCAUUAUUGAAAUGUUAUGGUGAAGGGGGCUACGUUGCUGGCUUUUAACAAGGCAUGUGCACAGUUCUCUUCUCCAAACUAUUCAUCCACCUGUGCACUUUUUGUAGGAGUUUUAUUAGGUUGGCUCGAGUCGAAAGGCUUGUUCGUUGACUUGAUAAGACUUCUAUGUCUUUACAAACCUUUGAAGUAUGUUAAGAAUGUCAUUUUAUUGGGGCUUUAUUGACCCUUUAAACUUUAUACAACUUUCAGCAACGGAUCUCUUGGCUCUCCCAUCGAUGAAGAACGCAGCGAAAUGCGAUAAGUAAUGUGAAUUGCAGAAUUCAGUGAAUCAUCGAAUCUUUGAACGCACCUUGCGCCCUCUGGUAUUCCGGAGGGCAUGCCUGUUUGAGUGUCAUUAAAUUCUCAACUUCAUAAGUUUUUAUUAACUUUGUGAAGCUUGGAUGUGGAGGUUUGCUGGCGUCUCAGAUGUUCAGCUCCUCUUAAAUAUAUUAGUGGAACCCCGUUUUGUUGGUCCAUCUUGGUGUGAUAAUUAUCUACGCUUUGUUUGGUUCAACUUGUCAGGUUAAGCCUUUGAUUAGGUUGUCCUGGUUGGGAUAUUGCAUUAGUUUGCUUUAUCUGAUGGGAAAGUCUGCUUUCUAACCGUCUGUGUAUGCGGACAAUUUAUUGACUAUUUGACCUCAAAUCAGGUAGGACUACCCGCUGAACUUAAGCAUAUCAAUAAGCGGAGGA
rnacentral:rRNA from 1 species